rnacentral:misc_RNA from 1 species
AAGUCGUAACAAGGUUUCCGUAGGUGAACCUGCGGAAGGAUCAUUAUCUAUAACCGGGUGUGGCUGCGGCCUCCGGGGGCGUGGGCGUCGAAACGAUGCCCUCUCUUCCGGGUGGUAGAGGUAAAACUCUCACGCGCCACAUGUCUGAAUCCUUUUUUUACGAGCACCUUUCGUUCUCCUUCGGUGGGGUAACCUGCCGUUGGAACCCAUCAAAACUCUUUUUGCAUCUAGCAUUACCUGUUCUGAUACAAACAAUCGUUACAACUUUCAACAAUGGAUCUCUUGGCUCUG